rnacentral:rRNA from 1 species
GUCGUGGGGGAUAACGUAGCGAAAGCUACGCUAAUACCGCAUACGAUCUCUGGAUGAAAGCGGGGGACCGCAAGGCCUCGCGCGAUUGGAGCGGCCGAUGGCAGAUUAGGUAGUUGGUGGGGUAAAGGCUCACCAAGCCAACGAUCUGUAGCUGGUCUGAGAGGACGACCAGCCACACUGGGACUGAGACACGGCCCAGACUCCUACGGGAGGCAGCAGUGGGGAAUUUUGGACAAUGGGCGCAAGCCUGAUCCAGCCAUUCCGCGUGCAGGAUGAAGGCCCUCGGGUUGUAAACUGCUUUUGUACGGAACGAAACGGUGCUCUCUAAUACAGGGCGCUAAUGACGGUACCGUAAGAAUAAGCACCGGCUAACUACGUGCCAGCAGCCGCGGUAAUACGUAGGGUGCAAGCGUUAAUCGGAAUUACUGGGCGUAAAGCGUGCGCAGGCGGUGAUGUAAGACAGAUGUGAAAUCCCCGGGCUCAACCUGGGAACUGCAUUUGUGACUGCAUCGCUGGAGUGCGGCAGAGGGGGAUGGAAUUCCGCGUGUAGCAGUGAAAU